AGAGUUUGAUCAUGGCUCAGAAUGAACGUUGGCGGCGUGGAUUAGGCAUGCAAGUCGAGCGAGAACCCAGCAAGUGGGGGACAGCGGACGAAAGGGACAGUAAUGUGUAGAUUAUCUGCCCUCGGGUCCGGGAUAGCUGCGGGAAACUGCAGGUAAUACCGGAUAACAUCUCCGGAUCAAAGGUGUGAUUCCGCCCGAGGAUGAGUCUGCAUCCUAUUAGCUUGUUGGUGGGGUAAUGGCCUACCAAGGCUUUGAUGGGUAGCGGGUGUGAGAGCACGACCCGCGUCAUUGGGACUGAGACACUGCCCAGACACCUACGGGUGGCUGCAGUCGAGAAUCUUCGGCAAUGGGCGCAAGCCUGACCGAGCGACGCCGCGUGUGGGAUGAAGGCCUUCGGGUUGUAAACCACUGUCAGAGGGGAUGAAAUGCAGGUGGGUUCUCCCACUUGUUUGACAUAGCCUCAGAGGAAGGACGGGCUAAGUUCGUG
rnacentral:rRNA from 1 species